rnacentral:rRNA from 1 species
GACGAACGCUGGCGGCGUGCUUAACACAUGCAAGUCGAACGGAAAGGCCCUGCUUGCAGGGUACUCGAGUGGCGAACGGGUGAGUAACACGUGGGUGAUCUGCCCUGCACUUCGGGAUAAGCCUUGGAAACUGGGUCUAUUACCGGAUAGGAGCCAUUUUUAGUGUGAUGGUUGGAGAGUUUUUUCGGUGUAGGAUGAGCUCGCGGCCUAUCAGCUUGUUGGUGGGGUAAUGGGCUACCAAGGCGGCGACGGGUAGCCGGCCUGAGAGGGUGGACGGCCACAUUGGGACUGAGAUACGGCCCAGACUCCUAUGGGAGGCAGCAGUGGGGAAUAUUGCACAAUGGGCGCAAGCCUGAUGCAGCGACGCCGCGUGGGGGAUGACGGCCUUCGGGUUGUAAACUCCUUUCGCUUGGGACGAAGCUUUUUGGGACGGAACCGAGAUAUGAGGCACGGGCUAACUACUG